rnacentral:rRNA from 1 species
AGUGAACGCUGGCGGUAGGCCUAACACAUGCAAGUCGAACGGCAGCACAGUAAGAGCUUGCUCUUACGGGUGGCGAGUGGCGGACGGGUGAGGAAUACAUCGGAAUCUACUUUUUCGUGGGGGAUAACGUAGGGAAACUUACGCUAAUACCGCAUACGACCUACGGGUGAAAGCAGGGGAUCUUCGGACCUUGCGCGAUUGAAUGAGCCGAUGUCGGAUUAGCUAGUUGGCGGGGUAAAGGCCCACCAAGGCGACGAUCCGUAGCUGGUCUGAGAGGAUGAUCGGCCACACGGGAACUUAGACACGGUCCAGACGCCUACGGGAGGCAGCAGUGGGGAAUAUUGGACAAUGGGCGCAAGCCUGAUCCAGCCAUACCGCGUGGGUGAAGAAGGCCUUCGGGUUGUAAAGCCCUUUUGUUGGGAAAGAAAAGCAGCAGGUUAAUACCCCGCUGUUCUGACGGUACCCAAAGAAUAAGCACCGGCUAACUUCGUG